UCAAGCGUUGUUCGGAUUCAUUGGGCGUAAAGGGUGUGUAGGUGGUGCCGUAAGUCGGGUGUGAAAUUUCGGAGCUUAACUCCGAAACUGCAUUCGAUACUGCGGUGCUUGAGGACUGGAGAGGAGACUGGAAUUCAUGGUGUAGCAGUGAAAUGCGUAGAGAUCAUGAGGAAGACCAGUGGCGAAGGCGGGUCUCUGGACAGUUCCUGACACUGAGACACGAAGGCCAGGGGAGCAAACGGG
rnacentral:rRNA from 1 species